UCGAGAAUAUUCGACAAUGGGCGCAAGCCUGAUCGAGCGACACCGCGUGCAGGAAGAAGGCCUUCGGGUUGUAAACUGCGGUAGAUAUAUAACAAUGCAAAUGAGUGUAUAUCGGAAAGAGGUUGGUAACUACGUGCCAGCACCCGCGGUAAUACGUAGACCUCAAGCGUUAUCCGGAUUUAUUGGGCGUAAAGCGUAUGUAGGAGGCUCUCUGCGUCUUUGGUUAAAUCCCACUGCCUAACGGUGGAACCGCCAAAGAUACGAGAGAGCUGGAGGAGGUUAGAGGCACAUGGAACGCACGGUGUAGGGGUGAAAUCCGUUGAUAUCGUGCGGAACACCAAAGGCGAAGGCAGUGUGCUGGGACCUUCCUGACUCUGAGAUACGAAAGCGUGGGGAGCAAAAAGG
rnacentral:rRNA from 1 species